UUAAGCUACUAAGAGCAUAGGGUGAAUGCCUAGGCACCAAAAGCCGAUGAAAGACGUGACAAGCUGCGAUAAGCCUUGGGGAGGAGCACAUAUCCUUUGAUCCAGGGAUUUCUGAAUGAGGAAACUCAGCUGGGAAAAAGAGCCCAGUUAUCCACACAUGAGUAAAGUAGUGUGUGAGAAGGGAACGUGGAGAACUGAAACAUCUUAGUACCCACAGGAAAAGAAAGAAAAAUCGAUAUCGAAAGUAGUGGCGAGCGAAAUCGAUAGAGCCCAAACCAGAAUCAGUAAUGAUACUGGGGUUCGGACAGCAUAAUUGAUUAAACGAGGAUAGCAAAACUGUUUUGGAAAAGCAGACUAUAAAGGGUGAAAGUCCCGUAUGCGAAAUUCAAGUUUACAUGGCUGUAUCCAGAGUAGUGCGAGACACGAGAAAUCUCGUAUGAAUGAGCGGGGACCAUCCCGUAAGGCUAAAUACUAAUUGGUGACCGAUAGCGAACUAGUACCGUGAGGGAAAGGUGAAAAGAACCCCGGGAGGGGAGUGAAAUAGAAUCUGAAACCCUAUGUUUACAAGCAGACAGAGCGAUUUAAGGCGCGAUGUCGUACUUUUUGUAGAACGGUCCAGCGAGUUAUAGUGCAUGGCAAGGUUAAGUUUUAAGUAAGGAACGGAGCCGAAGCGAAAGCGAGUCUGAAUAGGGCGAAUUAAGUCAUGCGUUAUAGACCCGAAACCGGGUGACCUAUCCAUGGUCAGGAUGAAGCAAGAGUAAAAUCUUGUGGAGGUCCGAACUGAUUGUCGUUAAAAAGGCACCGGAUGAACUGUGGAUAGCGGAGAAAUUCCAAUCGAACUCGGAGAUAGCUGGUUCUCCUCGAAAUAGCUUUAGGGCUAGCCUUGGAGGAAGACGAAUGGAGGUAGAGCACUGAAUGAGGUAGGGGCCUAACCAGGUUACCGAACUCUAUCAAACUCCGAAUGCCAUUCGUUAAUAUCCAGGAGUCAGACUACGGGAGCUAAGUUCCGUGGUCAAAAGGAAAAGAGUCCAGAUCGUCAAUUAAGGUCCCAAAUGGAUAGCUAAGUGGAAAACGAUGUGAUUUUGCGUAAACAACCAGGAUGUUGGCUCAGAAGCAGCCAUUCAUUAAAAGAGUGCGUAAUAGCUCACUGGUCGAGUGAAAUUGCGCGGAAAAUUACCGGGGCUAAGUUAUCAACCGAAAUUGCGGAUUUGUAAUUUAUUACAAGUGGUAGAGGAGCAUUCUAUUGUAGGAUGAAGUCAGAGCGUGAGCACUGGUGGACGAGAUAGAAGAGAGAAUGCUGGAAUAAGUAGCGAGAGCAGGGUGAGAAUCCCUGCCGUCGAAAGUCUAAGGUUUCCUGGGGAAGGUUCGUCCGCCCAGGGUUAGUCAGGACCUAAGGAGAGGCCGAAAGGCGUAUCUGAUGGAUAGCAGGUUGAUAUUCCUGCACUAUAUAAUACUUAAAAGAUGCAACUGACGCAGAAGUGGAAGGUGAGCAAGGAAAUGGAAAAACUUGUUCCGCAAGGGGGAGUGAAAAUAAAGUAACGAAGCACCAAGAAGCACGCUGACGAGAAAAGGUUGUAGAUCUUGUAUUAUAUACUUGUACCGCAAACCGACACAGGUAGAUGAGGAGAGGAUCCUAAGACGAUCGGGAGAAGCAUUGUUAAGGAACUCGGCAAAUUAACCCCGUAACUUUGGAAGAAGGGGUACUGGUGUAACAGCCAGUCGCAGAGAAUUGUCCCAAGCAACUGUUUAACAAAAACAUAGGUUUCUGCUAAAUCGAAAGAUGAAGUAUAGGAGCUGACGCCUGCCCAGUGCUGGAAGGUUAAGGGAACGUGUUAAUAGUAAUAUGAAGCACCGAACUGAAGCCCCAGUGAACGGCGGCCGUAACUAUAACGGUCCUAAGGAAGCGAAAUUCCUUGUCAGGUAAGUUCUGACCCGCACGAAAGG
rnacentral:rRNA from 1 species